rnacentral:rRNA from 1 species
AUUGAACGCUGGCGGCAUGCUUUACACAUGCAAGUCGGACGGCAGCACAGAGAAGCUUGCUUCUUGGGUGGCGAGUGGCGAACGGGUGAGUAAUAUAUCGGAACGUACCGAGUAAUGGGGGAUAACUAAUAGAAAGAUUAGCUAAUACCGCAUAUUCUCUGAGGAGGAAAGCAGGGGACAUUCGGGCCUUGCGUUAUUCGAGCGGCCGAUAUCUGAUUAGCUAGUUGGUGGGGUAAAGGCCUACCAAGGCGACGAUCAGUAGCGGGUCUGAGAGGAUGAUCCGCCACACUGGGACUGAGACACGGCCCAGACUCCUACGGGAGGCAGCAGUGGGGAAUUUUGGACAAUGGGCGCAAGCCUGAUCCAGCCAUGCCGCGUGUCUGAAGAAGGCCUUCGGGUUGUAAAGGACUUUUGUCAGGGAAGAAAAGGCUGUUGCUAAUAUCGACAGCUGAUGACGGUACCUGAAGAAUAAGCACCGGCUAACUACGUG